GAUGAACGCUGGCGGCGUGCCUAAUACAUGCAAGUCGAGCGAACGGACGAGAAGCUUGCUUUUCUGAUGUUAGCGGCGGACGGGUGAGUAACACGUGGAUAACCUACCUAUAAGACUGGGAUAACUUCGGGAAACCGGAGCUAAUACCGGAUAAUAUUUUGAACCGCAUGGUUCAAAAGUGAAAGACGGUCUUGCUGUCACUUAUAGAUGGAUCCGCGCUGCAUUAGCUAGUUGGUAAGGUAACGGCUUACCAAGGCAACGAUGCAUAGCCGACCUGAGAGGGGGACGGCCCACACGGGAACGGAGACGCGGUCCAGACGCCUAGGGGAGGAGCAAGGAGGGACUCUUCCGCAAGGGGCGAAGGCCGGCGGGGGAAACCCCGGGGGAUGAAGGAAGUUUUUGGGAUCGAAAAACUCUUUUAUUGGGGAAAAACAUUUGUGUAAGUACCGGUCCACUCCUGGAGGGUACUUAAUAAGAAAGCCCGGGCUAACUACGGC
rnacentral:rRNA from 1 species